AAAAGGCCUUCCAUCUUCCCCCACCCUACUAUACAUUCUCUUUAGGAAUACAAAACAAUAACUUACCGUCGCGGUAAAAUACGACCUUGUAUAUUUAGAAACGAAUGUAUGACCUUGCUGCUGCGUAUAAUGUAUCCUUACUGGCGUGUGUAAAAUAUUACUCGAGCUAUUCGUUUGUACAGUACGAAGUACAAGCUUUGCGAGUACAAUAAGCUAACGAACACAGUAUUGCUUGACGACUGUACACACGACGACCGUUUGUCUUCAACGAAUUUACCGCAAACUAUUGGAUCGGAUACGAGUUUUAACGCAGAGUUAAAUCAAUGUUAAAAAACCUCUGCCAACACGAAAAUAUGGCUUUAAAAACGGGUUAUAGGUAUAGGUCAGUCUGCGUCGCAGAGACAGUAUACAUUUUUACAAAUAUUCUAAAUUUCAACAAUAAUUUUUUCUACAAAAACGCUAAAUCUUUUAGCGCUGAGGAAAUAAACUAAAUCUGAUUUAUUUCUGAGGACCUCUUGUCUAUGGCGCCAGCGCUUUGGGCCAUACUUGUGAGGGCACUGACUCAAAAGAUAAGAGGGGUGGAACAGAUUUAGCUGUCUUAGUUUGGUCUCCUGGUCUUGCUGAUUGCUUUGUGCUUACCUAAGUUGCAUAACUAACUAACGAAUGUAAAGUCUGAAAAGCAAAAUGACAAUUUAAAAAUUCAUUAUCAAAAACUAGCUUUACAAUUACUUCAAAUUCCAGUUAUACAAUUUCUAAAACUCUUUUUCUUUUUGUAAUCUAUUCAAAAACUGUAAAUACUAAAUACCUUCAACUUUGUACAAAUUUUGCUGCUGAUUAAGCUGUUAUUUGAUAAAUACUUGAGCAGUGAUACCAAUAUUUAAUUGCUUCCCCAAACAGCUUAAGUACUUCCCGUUAUUUCAAAGAAGAUACAAUCAAGUGUCACAGGAAAACUUAAACUGUUUAUGAAUACCUUAACCUUACACAACUGAUCAAAAACUGUAAAAAGUAGAGACCGACCGAUAUCACUUUUUUCCACCGAUACCGAUACCGAUAUUUUUAGCUUUUACCGAUACCGAUAUUUUACCGAUAUUUGUCACUAUAGCGAAACAUAUGAAAUGAUCAGUUUUAAUCAAAAGUAAUGCCUGUAUUCAAGAUAUUGCAAGUUAUAGAGAAAAAUUGGUUGGUCUACAUGUUUUUAGAAAACAUGCAUGUUCUUAGGAAGGUGUUGCUUUUGUACGAAACUAGGACGCACAUGAACGCUAAACUAAAACGCACGUGGACAUUAAACUAUGACACACGUGGACGUUAAACUACGACGCACGUAAAGGUCAAACUACGACGCACGUAAAGGUCAAAACUACGACGCACGUAAAGGUCA